rnacentral:rRNA from 1 species
CACGUAGGGGCCAAGCGUUGUCCGGAAUCACUGGGCGUAAAGGGCGCGUAGGCGGCGCGGGCAGUCAACGGUGAAAGCUCGGAGCUCAACUCCGAGUCGGCCGUCGAUACUCCCGUGCUUGAGCACUGUAGAGGCAGGUGGAAUUCCGGGUGUAGCGGUGGAAUGCGUAGAGAUCCGGAAGAACACCGGUGGCGAAGGCGGCCUGCUGGGCAGUAGCUGACGCUGAGGCGCGACAGCGUGGGGAGCAAACAGG